UGCGGGCUCGGCCCCCGCCCAAAGCUCCAUAAACAACCGCGCUUCUGUGGAGACACAAGGAGAAAAGUCAGGACCCCAGAGGGCGCGAAGGAGAGAGUGGGGAGAGCCCGCCGGCAAAGCCCAGAGGGAGCCCUAGGACCCCAAUCUGUUCGGGACCGGGUGCCAUAGGACGUCUCACCUAUAGGGACUACGAGGCUCCGGGGGAACCCAUGCCCGGCUCCCUCAGAGUCAGCGCGGUUCUGGGUACGCGUUUCCCCGGUGUGCUUAACCCGCCCCCCUACUCUCGGGUUUGGACCGGCUUUGAAGUCCUUUCAAAUUCCAAAUUCUAAGAUUAGUCUUGAAGCCGUGAGGAUGGGCGAGGGAGGAUGUGCAACUACUUGGUCCCCAAGGGUGCUGUGCGCGGAGCGCCGCUGACCCGUCACACUCGGCCUGAGCAACCACUGGCUAUCGAGGGUAACGGCGCAGCCCUGCUCCACCCUCUCGGGACAUCAGAGACCGAGUCAGGGGGAACCUGAGCAAGACCUGCCUUCCCCAAAUAGCUGCCAGCGCCCGGAUCUGGAGGGCGCCUGCGUACCUUCCUGACCCUGACCCUGGACUUGGGGCUGUGUCUCUCGGCCUACUAAGGCCUGAGAGAGCUGCCCGGCUGCAGCCCAAGCAUUUUCAGCACUGGCCUUGUCGCCUGUCCCCAAACAAGUGUUUUUUGAGUGUGGGGCGCGCCUGCGCACGCCCGGGACAGGGACUCUGCAGUAUAUUGUACCGGAACCAAUACUCACCGCCCCUCUGGUUGCCGCCCCCCGCGGUGGUGUGUGUGUGUGUGUGUGUGUGUGUGUGUGUACGCGCGCGCACAGCUACUCAACCCUCCGCGCGCCCCGUUACCGAGGACGCGCUGUGCCUGCGGGCUUCAGGACCCGCGCCCCUCCAAGGAACUCCGGGCUUUGAGUGGCUGCAGACGGGUGACUAGUUUCAGAACCCGGAAUGGCAGAUCCGCUCCAGAGCGUAGUGAGGGGAGAGAGGGCUCAGAGGCCAGAGCCAUUGAAGAGCCGCCAAGCUUACCUGCAGUUUCUCAGAUUCUCGGGUCCUGUGUGGACUACACGCCGACCCAAGUAGGGUCGAGAUGCAUUUAAGGCAGAAAUGCUCAGAAAUGAUUUCCUCAACAAUCUAUGGAAGACAAAAAAAAAAAAAGUGCGAAA